CAGAGGAUAGCUAUGUGCGUGUACAAAUUAAAUACACCGCUGAUAUUAUUCUAAACUGGAACAUAAGAAAUAUUCAGAAUGCUUUUACUCAGUUAAAGAUCUAAACAUUGAUUGCACCGUGGAUCAAAAUAGAUUACGAUCGCUGACAAGUUGUAUCAUACGAAGUUGUCUUUAUAGACAAACCAUCGCGAAACAGGCCUGUCUACAUUUUCAUUUUUCAGGAAUCCAGAAUGGUACUAACAAAAGCCUUACGAUUUACAUUCAUCAUCAGAUGAUUACAAUGGU